rnacentral:rRNA from 1 species
GGACGGGAUUGGAGAGCUUGCUUUCCAUGAGAGUGGCGCACGGGUGCGUAACACGUAUGUAACCUACCUUUAUCAGGGGGAUAGCCUCUCGAAAGAGAGAUUAAGCCCGCAUAAAAUCACAGUGCAGCAUUGCGUAAUGAUCAAAUAUUUAUAGGAUAAAGAUGGGCAUGCGGAACAUUAUCUGGAUGGUAAGGUAACGGCUUACCAUGGCGACGAUGUUUAGGGGAUCUGAGAGGAUGGCCCCCCACACUGGUACUGAGACACGGACCAGACUCCUACGGGAGGCAGCAGUAAGGAAUAUUGGUCAAUGGGCGGAAGCCUGAACCAGCCAUGCCGCGUGCAGGAAGACGGCCCUACUGGUAGUAAACUGCUUUUGUACCGGAAUACACCCCGUAUGUAUACGGGGCUGAAUGUACGGUAAGAAUACAGAUCGGCUAACUCCGUG